rfam:Serratia sp. M24T3 contig01, whole genome shotgun sequence.
CCCAACAAUCGUGAUGUGGUUGUUUUAAUCAUAAUGUUUUGAUGAAAGGGCAGUUUUUUUAUUGCCCUUUUCUUUUU